GAACCAGUGCUUUAGAAACUCCACACAGUUAAGCAGUGUGUCUGCUUACUUGCUGUUAUAUAACUUUAGACUAAAGGACAAUGCUUGACAGAGUCAGUAUUUAAAAAUCUGUCCAAGGUGCCUUUGUUUGGUGUUCUCCGACUAGUGUUUGAGCAGUAUAUGCACAAGGGUUCUUCUCACAGCUGCCAAAACUUGAAUUGGAGAUGCUAGAGAGGAAGAUGUAGAAAAUGGACAAAACAUUGUCCUGUUUCGAUAAGGAUGAACGAGAGCUUACCCUUGCCUCUCUACAUCCACAGCAGCUUGGUGAUUCUGGACCCAGUCUGAAAAUGUAGAAGCUGAGCUGAGACUGAUUUCCAUUGAGCAGUUCUUAAAGUGUGACAUAUGAAGCAGCAGCACUUUAGAUGAUUUUAGGGUGUGUGGACAAACUUUGUUAUCAUGUCAAUUAUAGAUAUAUUUAAUGACCAUAGAAAAUGUUAUUUGUCCCUUAAAUCUCUGCUAUCUGACUGGUGUAUCGUUUUCCCAGAAUGAAACCAAGUAAAAACAGUGAGACUGAAUAAUUGUAC
rnacentral:lncRNA from 1 species